ACGGAAGGCAGCAGUGGGGAAUAUUGGGCAAUGGGCGCAAGCCUGACCCAGCAACGCCGCGUGAAGGAAGAAGGCCUUCGGGUUGUAAACUUUUUUUAUCAGGGACGAAGGACGUGACGGUACCUGAUGAAUAAGCCACGGCUAACUACGUGCCAGCAGCCGCGGUAAUACGUAGGUGGCGAGCGUUAUCCGGAUUUACUGGGUGUAAAGGGCGCGUAGGCGGGGAUGCAAGUCAGAUGUGAAAUCUAUGGGGUUAAACCAUAAACUGCAUUUGAAACUGUAUCUCUUGAGCGUCGGAGAGGUAGAUGGAAUUCCUAGUGUAGCGGUGAAAUGCGUAGAUAUUAGGAGGAACACCAGUGGCGAAGGCGAUCUACUGGACGAUAACUGACGCUGAGGCGCGAAAGCGUGGGGAGCAAACAGGAUUAGAUACCCUGGUA
rnacentral:rRNA from 1 species